rnacentral:rRNA from 1 species
AUUGAACGCUGGCGGCAUGCCUUACACAUGCAAGUCGAACGGCAGCACGGGUGCUUGCACCUGGUGGCGAGUGGCGAACGGGUGAGUAAUACAUCGGAACAUGUCCUGUAGUGGGGGAUAGCCCGGCGAAAGCCGGAUUAAUACCGCAUACGAUCUACGGAUGAAAGCGGGGGCCGUGGGGCCUCGGCCCUUGCGGGUUGGCGAUGGCCGAUUAGCUAGUUGGUGGGGUAAAGGCCUACCAAGGCGACGAUCAGUAGCUGGUCUGAGAGGACGACCAGCCACACUGGGACUGAGACACGGCCCAGACUCCUACGGGAGGCAGCAGUGGGGAAUUUUGGACAAUGGGCGAAAGCCUGAUCCAGCAAUGCCGCGUGUGUGAAGAAGGCCUUCGGGUUGUAAAGCACUUUUGUCCGGAAAGAAAUCCUUGGCCCUAAUACGGUCGGGGGAUGACGGUACCGGAAGAAUAAGCACCGGCUAACUACGUG